GCAAGGGUAGCCAAGCGGUUAGGCACUCGCCUGCAGAGCGAUGAACGUGGGUUCGAAUCCCACCCCUUGCU
rnacentral:tRNA from 2 species